AUUUGGGGGAAUCACUUUAGUCUUCUCUUUUUCAUCAAACCGCAAUUUUUGUAAGUUCCCCCAAUUUCAUCGCGUAAAAUUGCAAAAAUAUCCCGCAGAUUCCAUCGCAUUUUUAAGAAAACGUGCCGCAUAAUUACAGAUUUUUUGCACAAUCCCCAAAA